rnacentral:rRNA from 1 species
GAUGAACGCUAGCUACAGGCUUAACACAUGCAAGUCGAGGGGCAGCAUGGUCUUAGCUUGCUAAGGCCGAUGGCGACCGGCGCACGGGUGAGUAACACGUAUCCAACCUGCCGUCUACUCUUGGACAGCCUUCUGAAAGGAAGAUUAAUACAAGAUGGCAUCAUGAGUCCGCAUGUUCACAUGAUUAAAGGUAUUCCGGUAGACGAUGGGGAUGCGUUCCAUUAGAUAGUAGGCGAGGUAACGGCCCACCUAGUCUUCGAUGGAUAGGGGUUCUGAGAGGAAGGUCCCCCACAUUGGAACUGAGACACCGUCCAAACUCCUACGGGAGGCAGCAGUGAGGAAUAUUGGUCAAUGGGCGCAGGCCUGAACCAGCCAAGUAGCGUGAAGGAGGACUGCCCUAUGGGUUGUAAACUUCUUUUAUAAAGGAAUAAAGUCGGGUAUGUAUACCCGUUUGCAUGUACUUUAUGAAUAAGGAUCGGCUAACUCCGUG